CAAUAGCGUAUAUUAAAGUUGUUGCAGUUAAAAAGCUCGUAGUUGGAUUUCUGGUGGGAGCGAUCGGUCUGGCGCUUAGCGCGAGUACUUGCAUCGUCUCCGGCCAUCCUUGGGGAGAGUCUGUCUGGCAUUAGGUUGUCGGGCAGAGGAUCCUCAUCGUUUACUGUGAAAAAAUAAGAGUGUUCAAAGCAGGCUUAUGCCGUUGAAUAUAUUAGCAUGGAAUAAUAAGAUAGGACUUUGGUACUAUUUUGUUGGUUUGCGCACCAAAGUAAUGAUUAAUAGGGACAGUUGGGGGUAUUCGUAUUCCGUUGUCAGAGGUGAAAUUCUUGGAUUUACGGAAGACGAACUACUGCGAAAGCAUUUACCAAGGAUGUUUUCAUUAA
rnacentral:rRNA from 1 species